UAAUACGUAGGGGGCGAGCGUUGUCCGGAUUCAUUGGGCGUAAAGCGCGCGCAGGCGGCCCGGUAAGUCGGAUGUGAAAUCCCACGGCUCAACCGUGGAACUGCAUUCGAUACUGUCGGGCUAGAGGCAGGUAGGGGAGAUUGGGAUUCCCGGUGUAGCGGUGAAAUGCGCAGAUAUCGGGAGGAACACCGGUGGCGAAGGCGGAUCUCUGGGCCUGUCCUGACGCUCAGGCGCGAAAGCUAGGGGAGCGAACA
rnacentral:rRNA from 1 species